GGAUUGUGAUUCAGUGGUAGAGCGCUCACCUAGCAUGUGCGAGGCCCUGGGUUCAAUCCUCAGUACCA
rnacentral:tRNA from 1 species